rnacentral:lncRNA from 1 species
GCUUCUUCGUUCCUCUCUCUCGUCUCUCUCGCUUCGGUCUCCCAGAUGUCUUUUCUGCUGCUGAGCAGACUGGCAGGCAGCCGGUGAUGGGGCCCUACUUGGAAGACCCCCUCCUCUGCUGGCUCCUGCGAUUCUUCAGCCUCCUCGUCAGUGUCUACAGCAGUGGGACCAAUGGUGGAGGCCCUGCUCCUGGAGUUCAGGAUUCUGGAGCUCCUGAUCCUCUGCAGGGGAUCCGAGGAGGUUCUGUGCUGUUUCCUUUGCCCAAGAAGCAAGACGCUGAGCUGGAGGAGGUCACGUGGGGCUUUGGUCCUGGGUCAGAGUACAGAGUCCUGCUGCGAGUCCGUCCUGGGAAAGCUCCCACCUGGGUCAGCCUCCAGGACAGGUACCAGCAGAGGGUCCAUGUGCCCAACAUGACGUCCCUGAAGAUUGAGAACCUGACCCCUGAGGACAGUGGGCUGUACCGGGCUCGAGUUAGCUUUACUGGAGGAGUAGAACUUACCAAGGUUUUCCACCUCACUGUCUAUGAGCCAGUGACCAUUCCCCAGAUCCUGGUCCACUCAUCAUCCAUCACACCAGGCUGGUGCAAUGUUACCAUGGAGUGCAGGACCUCAGGGGACACAGAGGACCUGAAGGUGACCUGGGAGGGCAAGGGCCUCCCCAGGGAGCUGGAGGAGAGAGUGACAUCAGGACCAACCCCCAAUUCGUGGACCCUGGCUGUGCACCUGCCCCAGAGCCAGCCCUACACCAACAUCACCUGUGUGGUCAGCAACGAAGUGGACCAGAAAACUGCCACCUUCAACCUUGGGGAAGUCUGUGUCCAUGGUUCACAUGGACAAGCCAAUGCUGUUGCCCUGCCAGGCAUCUUAGGGGCAGGGGCUACUGUGGCUACACUAUUACUGAUCCUUGGAAUUGGACUCUGCCUUUGGAAGAAGAAGAAGAAGAAGAAGAUGGAGACUGCAAGAGGAUUGCAGGAGGAGUCUAAGGACCGUGACGGUGGCAUCCAAUAUGUAGAGCUGAGCCAGCAGGAUUCUCGAGAGAGCACGGACCAGAUAGGCCACAUGGGAAUCCAAGGGACCACUGGAUUGUUUGGGAAGCCCUGAGUCAGGGCAGGUGAGCAGAUGCUGCUGGUGUGGAUUCGAAUGACCCUCUCGCCUGAGCUCUCCAUCUCCCUGGUGCGGCUAUAAAAAGAAGAAGAAAACCAGAACAGCAAAAGAACAACGACAAGAAAAAAAUCUAAGAGACUGUAGUGUGUGACUAAUGUCAAAUUUAAAUCUUCAUGAAAUGGACAAUUCCUAGGAAAAUAUGAAUUGCUAAAACUGAUUUACCUGUGUAUAUAAACCUGGGAAAACGAACACAGAAAAUAUUGUAAAACGUACGUAACAAUAAGAAACAAAGCCUAUUUCUGGUGAAUUCGUCACGUCUUUCAAGAAUGGAUAAUUUUUGUACUAGCAAAUUUGUUUUAAAAUUUGGUAGAAGAUAUGUGAGUUCCCACUGUGGUGCCACAGAAAUGAAUCCGACUAGUAUCCAAGAGGAUGCGGGUUCAUCCCUGACCUUGCUCAGUGGGUUAAGGAUCUGGUGUUGCUGUGAGAUAUGGUGUAGGUUGCAAGAUGUGGCUCAGAUCUCACAUGGAUGUGGCUGUGGCUGUGGUGUAGGCCAGCAAUUUGCAGCUCCAAUUUGACCCCUAGCCUUGGAACUUCCAUAUGCCUUGGGUACAGCCCUAAAGAAAAGAAGAAAAAAUUGGCAGAAGAUAGAAAGCAUUCAUUUAUGAUUUGGAAAACUAGCCAAAGCAUGAAAAGGAAGCAAAGUCCCAACCUAGUUGUCCAGGCUGCUUGCACACUUGUCAUUUUCCUUCUUCUGCUGGAGAUUUUUCUUGGAGAGCUGAAUUUCCAGCCUCCCAAGGAGCUUGAGGAGAAGAAGAGCUUUUGCCAGCAUCUUUCCCAGUAAUGGAGAUAAGCAUAGAGUUCUAAUUUCUGUUGUGUCAGAAACAGAGCAGAGAGUGAGAAGCUUCUGAGUGAUGGAUCCUGAGCUGGCCACACUCCCUGCAGUGGACUGGCCCAAAGAAUUCAGGAAAUAUUCAUCAAAGAGGAGCCAAAGCAGAGGAUAUGGGGGAAGGUCCUGCUCCAGCAGGCCCCACAGGGUCCUGUUUGUUACAGGAACUCCUUCUCACACUUUGACCACACAAUUAGACGUGAUUACAUGUAAUUAAAUUGUUUUCAUUGUGUUACUUAAGUUCAGAAAUGGGAGUACCUGUUGCGGCUCGGUGGGUUAAGAACCUGACAGAGUGUCCCUGAGGAUGUGGUUUGGAUCCCUGGCCUCGCUCAGUGGGUUGAGGAUCCAGCUUAACCCACUGCAAGCUAUGGUGCAAGUUGCUGCAAGCUGUGGUGCAGGUUGCAGAUGCGGCUCUGAUCUGGUGUUGCUGUGGCUGCUGUGUAGGCCUGCAGCAGCAGCUCUGAUUCAACCCCUAGCCUGAGAAUUUCCAUUUGCUGCAGGUGUGGGCUUAAAAAAAAUUCAAGAGAUGAGUGGUAUCUGAAGUUCUGGUGUCCCAAGACAUUAUCAGAACCAGAAAUAUAUAUUAGAGACCAAUGUUAUACUUCUCUAAAGGGGGAUGAACUGUGGCCUGAGCUUUUAGGGUUGCUGUGCAAAGCUAGAUAAGAUGCUGGGUGAAGUAGGGUAAGAAAGUGUCUGUCUCCUGUCCUGGGAAACCAGCACGGGGGCUGCAACCUGCCCUAUUCCAUGAAAAGAAUGUGAGAAAUUGGAAACCAAGCCUUCACUUGGAUGUGGGUGUGAAUUCUCACUCCGUGCUGGAAAUCAGAGCCUAGAAAUUACCUUAUAAAUAGGUGAAACUUAUAAGGCCCACACUGGGGCAAAUACUAAAUUGACCCAUGGGGAGACGUCCACAUGGUGACACCCGUGUGGACUAACUGAUCAAAGAGACUGAGGAAGGAAUCAAGACUAUAAUGCAAAAAUAAACAUCUUGAAAAAAUGUCAGACCUAAGGGAAUGGAAAGAAGUAGACAUUUUGAGAAAAGAAAUAGGUCAAAGCCAGUAAAUCUAAUGUUUUAGGAGCUAUUUAGAAAAUAAAAUUGAGGGAAUAUCUGUUGUGGCACAGUGGAAACAAAUCCAACUAGGAACCAUGAGGUUGCAGGUUCAAUUCCUGGCCUCGCUCAGUGGGUUAAGGAUCUGGCGUUGCCAUGAGCUGUGGUGUAGGUCGCAGACAUGGCUCAGAUAUGAUGUUGUUGUGGCUGUGGUGUAGGCCAGCAGCUGUAGCUCCAAUUAGACUCCUAGCCUGGGAACCUCCAUAUGCCAUCCAGGUGCAGCUCUAAAAAGCAAU